AGUUUCGUUUCUUCCGCCAUUUUGUUAUCCCGCAGCGGCCGGAGGAAGAUAGAGGCUGUGACUGAGGAAAGAUGCAAGCUGUGCGUGAACAUGUCGAACGCC